AGCUAGGUUAGAGUGCGGCAGAGGGGAGUCAGCUGACAGGCUCGUCCUCCCCUCCCUUGCGCGCUUUGGCUCAGUCCACUCCCACUUCUUUGCUGCUGCUGCUGCAUCUGGCUCCAGCCAUGGUGGGCAGUGGCAGCUGGCUGUGGCUCUUCUGCGCAGGCGCACUAGCACAGGCCUUGGUGGGCAAGGGCCCUCAGGAGCCAGGGGCCACUCAAGACAGGAAGGGCCCUCAGAACCUGGAGGCCAAGGGGCUGCAGGAAGGCAGCUCUUCCCACCUUAAGGUGCUGGGCUUCCGCUUGGAGGAAGGCGCCUCGGCCACUGGGGGCCUAGUCAAGGCCACUCCAGGGGCCACUUUCCGCCUGAGGCUCUAUGGCACCGGCCUCAGCAACCGGACGGGCCCUUGGGUGGCCUUCGUGGCCACAGGGGACCCUUGUGCGGUCAGUUCGGCCAGCGAGGUCCGCGUCCACGACAUCCAACCGCUUGGGGACCACGCUGCCUUGGUGACCGUCAAAGUGGCCCCGCUCGGCGCCAGGGGAGAGUACCGUCUCUGCAGCCCGGUCGGACCAACCGGUCACUCGUGGGCUCCGGCCGCUCCGGGGGACGCGAUCUUAGUCACCGAAGACGAAGGCGGCGGCGGUGGUGGUGUCCCCGGCGGGAAAGUGGCCACGUUGGCCUUGCCCGUUCCCUUGGCGCCGUGGCUUUUGGGCACCUUAGUGGCCCUACUCCUUGCUCUCUUGUCCCUUCUGCGGACUUUGCAACUCGGGACCUUGUGGCUGGACCCGGCGGAGCUCUACGUCCUUCGGGAUUGUGGCUCCGAGUCUGAAAGAGAGGCCUCCAAGACGCUGGAGCCCAUCCGGCAACGAGGGACCUUCGUGCUCUGCUCCUUGCUACUCCUAAGUUCUGUGGCCAAUGCUGCCUUGGCGGUGCUUUUCUACCGCGCUGUGGGACUCCUAGCGCCCGCCAUCCUAGGAGUAGCUGGCUUGGUCUUCCUCUUGGCGGAGGUGCUGCCCUUCGCCAUCAGCUCGCGCUGGGGGCUCCUGCUGGCCCCUCGUGGCUUGUGGUUGACCCAGCUCUGCAUGCUGUUGACGUUUCCCAUCUCGUUGCCCCUCAGCAAAGUGCUGGAGUUGGCUUUCCACCACGACACCAGCACCUGCCUCUUGCGGGAGAAGAUCCUGGACAUGGUACGCAACAGUGACCCAUACAACGAGUUCGUGCGGGAAGAGUUCAGCAAAGGGGCCCUGCGGAACAAGACGGUGGAGGACGUCCUGACGCCGCUGGACCAGUGCUUCAUGCUGGACGCCAACGCGGUGCUGGACUUCAACCACAUGUCCACCAUCAUGCAAAGCGGCUACACCCGCAUCCCCGUCUAUGAGGAGGAGCGCACCAACCUGGUGGACAUGCUCUACGUCAAGGACCUAGCCUUGGUGGACCCGGACGACUGCACCCCUCUCAGCACCAUCAUCAAGUUCUACAACCACCCGCUCCAUUUCGUCUUCAAUGACACCAAGCUGGACGCCGUGCUGGAGGAGUUCAAGCGAGGGAAGUCCCACCUGGCCAUUGUCCAGAAGGUCAACAACGAAGGUGAAGGGGACCCUUUCUACGAGGUCAUGGGCCUGGUGACCCUGGAGGACGUCAUUGAGGAGAUCAUCAAGUCGGAGAUCAUGGACGAGUCGGAUGACUACAGGGACAACAAACUGAAGAAGAAGCCAGCCCCACUGGGGUCCUUGAUGGAUCGCAGGAAAGAAGACUUCUCUCUGUUCAAAGUGUCCGAUAAUGAAUACAAGGUGAAAAUCUCUCCACAGCUUCUCCUGGCGACGCAGCGCUUCUUAUCCAGAGAGGUGGACCUCUUUGGCCCGGCCCGCAUCUCGGAGAAGGUCCUCUUGCAUUUGCUGAAGCAUCCCAGCGUCAACCAAGAGGUCAAGUUCGACGAGAGCAACCGCCUGGCCGCCGACCACUAUUUGUAUCAGCGCAACCAGCCCGUCAACUACUUCAUCCUCAUCCUGCAGGGCAGGGUCGAAGUUGAGAUCGGAAAAGAGGGGCUGAAGUUUGAGAACGGGGCCUUCACAUAUUACGGCGUCUCCGCACUGACGGCACCUUCUUCCGUUCACCAGUCCCCAGUAUCCACCCUCCGAAUGAACCGCCGCGACCAGUCUUCGCUGGACUGCACAGAAGCCACCAACUACUCCGCUUACUGUCCGGAUUACACUGUCCGAGCCUUGACCGACCUGCAGUUCAUCAAGGUGACCCGUCUGCAGUAUCUCAAUGCCCUGAUGGCCUCCAGGAUACAGAACUCCCCGCAGUCUCCGGACAACAUCGAAUUGAAAAUCAUGCCCAGCAGCCAGACAAAGCUCCUGAAUGACAAAAACGCUGCAACAGCCUUCCCGCUAAACCUCUCUUUCUUUGGCACAAUUGAGAACUGCAUUUAAUACAGGCCCCCCUCUGCCAUAUUGCUGGAGUGCCUUUGUUUUGAAAGCCACAAGGAAACAGUCGAAGCAAGCUCAACCUUCUGGAAGAGGAGAUCCAGAGUUCGGGGGUCUGAUGCCGUGGACAAUGAGUCAGCUGGGCCUGCAGAGGAGCCCCUUCCCCGAAUCCCUUGACCCUCCUGGAGCUCUCCGGCCUCGUUUCCGACAGAGCCUUGUUCUCUUGCUUCCAAUCUUGAAAAAACCCCUGAACUCUGUGUGGGGCUUGAGGGGAUGCUCUCGAUGUUUUGUUGCCGGUGCUCUUAACGGGCAUUAUUUUCCAUCGACUCUGGAGGGUGAGCUGAGCUGAGGGGGAACGUGGACUGCGAGGAACUGCCCUCCUAACCCAGCACCUCAUUCGCUUUGGCCGAAGCCGGUGCCGUGAGCAGGGACUGGGCCAAGGUGCCGCAGCAACAGCACGUUCCUCUCCUCCCUUGACAGCGUUGUGGUCCCUUGUGUUCCAUGCAAAACAA